GACUUGGUAGCCUAGUUUGUAAAUGCAUCACUUCUAGUAUGUUGUCUCAGCUUCUAGCUAAGGUUGCUGGUUCAAAUCCUGCCCAAGUUA
rnacentral:tRNA from 1 species